rnacentral:lncRNA from 1 species
CUCCCAAGGGGCUCAGAGCCCUUCCACCUCCCUUCCUCCUGUCAUCUUUCCCCCCUUUACCAGCCCGCCCUCAGGCCCACCAAGCCCCUUGCCGGGGUCUCCAGCAUCUCUCUGCUACUUCCCUGUCUCCCAACCGACUCCAGCUGAGACCCCUGUGCUGUGCCUACCAGGCCCCAGAAGGCCCAGUAAAAUUUACCUCAUGUGGUAAGUCACCCUAGAGGCACACAGCACGAAAGAGUCAGGGAGUGGGGGAAGCAGAAGGCAGGUGAACAGGAGUAAGCCAGAGCAACACCAAGGGUGCGUGGUGUGCGGGGGACAGGAAGAGGAGACAGCCCGCUGACUUCCCUUGAGGUGGGCGUCUACUAGUGAAAAACGGAGUGUAUGAAAAUAAAACCUCGUCAUCUCUGCA